GAAGGAAGAAAAGAAGGAUGGAAGAAGGAAGAUAGAAAAGGGGAAAAGGAUGAGAGACUUUCAGCACACAUCCAGUCGCAUGGUGGUUGCGCAUCAUGUCUGUCUUUCUUCUCUGUAUCUCUUCUCUCCCU
rnacentral:ribozyme from 11 species